CGCAGUGAAGACGCUUGAUGAGAGCCAGAACACAGACGAUCUGAAGCAGCGUCACACUCUUCUGCUGGAGACUGGACUUUAGAGAAAUGAUGCUGAUCUUUGGACUGAUGCUGCUGCUGCAAACUGCUGCAUGUGUGGAGUGGAACUGCAGUUUUGAUAAAUCUGAUCCCUGUUACGCAGCUCUGGGAGACAAACUCAAUCUGCUGAUGGUGGACGCUAGUAAAUAUGAGCUGAAGAUAAUAAAGAGAAUAAACAACAACACAGCAGACGGUCCAGUUUGUAGAGUAAAAUAUGGCAGUAUGAGGGAAUGUAAUCUUUAUAAUAACAGACCUGAAGUGAACAUCAUUGAUGGGACUGUGAUAAUAAACCGUGUGAUCAGAGCAGAUUCUGGGAAUUACAGAUUAACACUCGUUGACUCAAACGGCACAGAAACAUCUAGAGAUCUUCAAGUGAUUGUUGAAGCUCCUAUUGGCUCAGUGGAAGUGUCAAUCAUCUGCUCCUCCAGUGGGGUGAUGAGGGUGUUCUGCUCCUCUGAGGGGGAUCAGCUCCUCUACAACUGGACUCUGAAUGGAGAUCCACUGAUGGAUGGAAACAGCAGCAUUGAUCUGGAUGAGGGAGCUGAUGGAGACAUCAGCUGCAGCGUGAAGAACCACGUCAGUCACACACAGAAGACCAUUAGACUCAAACCCUGUCCUGGACCAACUACUGCAGCUGUGACCUCUAGUUUGACCUCUGCAUCGACACAGACAUCAGAAUGUGGUCUGGAUCGGUUCUGCAAUUUUAAUCAAUCUGAUCCCUGUUACGCAGCUCUGGAACACAAACUCAAUCUGCUGAUGGUGCGGGACACUAGAGAAUAUGACCUGACAUUAAGAAAGAGAAUAAACAACAACACAGCAGACAGUCCAGUCUGUAGAGUAAAGAAUGGCAGUAUGAAGAUGAGUGAAUGUGAUCUUUAUAAUAACAGACCUGAAGUGUCAGUCAUUAAUGGGACUGUGAUAAUAAACCGUGUGAUCAGAGCAGAUUCUGGGAAUUACAGAUUAACACUCGUUCACUCAGACGGCACAGAAACAUCUAGAGAUCUUCAAGUGAUUGUUGAAGCUCCUAUUGGCUCAGUGGAAGUGUCAAUCAUCUGCUCCUCCAGUGGGGUGAUGAGGGUGUUCUGCUCCUCUGAGGGGGAUCAGCUCCUCUACAACUGGACUCUGAAUGGAGAUCCACUGAUGGAUGGAAACAGCAGCAUUGAUCUGGAUGAGGGAACUGAUGGAGACAUCAGCUGCAGCGUGAAGAACCACGUCAGUCAUGCACAGAAGAACAUUAGAGUCAAACCCUGUCCUGGACCAACUUCUGCAGCUGUGACCUCUAGUUUGACCUCUAGUUUGACCUCUGCAGUGACACAGACAUCAGAAUGUGGUCUGGAUCGGUUCUGCAGUUUUAAUCAAUCUGAUCCCUGUUACGCAGCUCUGGAACACAAACUCAAUCUGCUGAUGGAGCGGGAUGCUGGAGGAUAUGACCUGAAGAUAAUAAAGAGAAUUAACAACAACACAAAUGAUCCAUUUUGUAGAAUAAGAUACGGCAAGAUGAGGGAAUGUGGUCUUUAUAAUAACAGACCUGAAGUGAACAUCAUUAAUGGGACUGUAAUAAUAAACCGUGUGAUCAGAGCAGAUUCUGGGAAUUACAGAUUAACACUCGUUCACUCAGACGGCACAGAAACAUCUAGAGAUCUUCAAGUGAUUGUUGAAGCUCCUGUUGGCUCAGUGGAAGUGUCAAUCAUCUGCUCCUCCAGUGGGGUGAUGAGGGUGUUCUGCUCCUCUGAGGGGGAUCAGCUCCUCUACAACUGGACUCUGAAUGGAGGUCCAUUGAUGGAUGGAAACAGCAGCAUUGAUCUGGAUGAGGGAACUGAUGGAGACAUCAGCUGCAGCGUGAAGAACCACGUCAGUCACGCACAGGAGACCAUUAGAGUCAAACCCUGUCCUGUUUUAGAAUUCUCUCUGAUUGCUUUGGGCUGCGUUGCUCUGAUCCUGAUUCUGCUGUUCAUCACCAUAUGUUACGUUUACAAGAAGAAGCAGCUCAAGUCAACACAAGUCCCUGCUGGAGAUACAGAGCUCAUAUACGCUGAUAUCUCUCAUGAGAAAAAGAGUGAAAAGAAGAAUACAGAAUCUUUCCUGGCUGCUGAUGUGGAAUACUCCGAGGUCCGAACGCAGACAAAGAGGAAGAAGAAGAAGAAGGAGGAGGAGGUUCAGUACGGCGAGGUGACAUUCACUCCGAACCACUCAAACGCUCCACAGCAGCAGCUUCAGGAGGAGUGUGUUUACUCGCAGGUACAGAGACACUAGUUUCACAGCAAAACUCGUGUAGGAUCGCACUUUCCCUGAGAAACCGGAUGCUUAUUUUCACUUAUGUUUGGCUUUGGGAGUUUUAUAGGUUAUAUAAAGCACAUAUCUCUUUGCGUUUGUAAAUUAUUUAGCUUGACAUGUUAACAAUGGUACUGUGUGUUGAUAUGUGGUGUUACGGGUUGUAUAGCGUGAGCUUUAACGUACAUGUCUGGGCUGAACUGUCAGAUGAGUAAACAAAACAAUGGAAAAAAGAGGAAACCAAUCGCACAUUAUUUCCCCUUGAACUUCUGUGCAAUUCAGUUUUUAGCGCUUCUCGAUUUGCAACUGCGACUAUACGAUGGCAAGAAAAACCUUGAAAGUUAGCUUUUAAUCAUGAAUCUCGAGGAGGUGAUUGAUGUGCACAAGUGCUCAAAAGUCAUGAAAACACACCUUGAUAGCACACGUACAAUACAGAGACGUCUAUUUGACGUCUGCAUUACAUCUGCAAGGCAUAUUUUUUUAGUGUUUGUUCAUCUGCAAUACGACUAUAGGACGUUUCCUAUCAGAUGUCAAAUAGACGUUAAUAAGAUGUCUUUAAGAUGUUUAUGAUUUAGAAUGAAUGUAAACUGACAUCUUAAAGACGUCUAUCAGAUGUUUGUACACAGCAGAUGCUUUCCAGAUGAAGCGAUCUUUGACAGACCUCUUGCAGACGUGAUGCAGUUUGGUGAUUUGGAAUUAACAUUUCAAAGCAAUUAAAGUCGGAAAGUCACAGAAAAUCUUAGCUUUGCUAGACUGAGUUAUGCAUUUCUGCAUUUGGCCGCCUGGAGUGAGUUGAAGCAGUCACAUGUUGUUAAUGGGGGCUUGUGGCAAAAAUGCAACCAAAAUUAACCAAAAUGCCCCACAAAUUCAAGAUAAAGGGGCAAAAAUUGCCCCUGCACAAUGCAACAAUGUACUACAGCUGUUGUGAUUAAAAUGAACUGCUCAUGCUGCAUCAGAUUGCAUUUUAUGCUUUUUUUAUUUUGCAGUGUUGAGCUUUAUAAGCAAUCACAUGCGUUUCCGUUGAGCUUAGGAAUGCAAUGGCCAAUCAGAGCUGCUUAGAUUAGUCAGUGCUCAAGACUCCGGAGUUGUUGUUGAUUAUAUUGCCGCACUGAACCCACAUCAUAAACAACAGUGCAGAUACGAUGUAAAUAAAAGAUUAAUUUCAUAGCAUCAGUUAUUAUAAUGGGAGGUUUUGCUCAACUUGUGCUAGUCUAGUCUAACGUCAUGGACCGACAUGUUUGUCUCUGAAGCCAUGAGACAAACUUUUUUUGAGACAAAAUUUUGAUUGAUUGAAGUAAUUGGUUAAAUUCAAGUAAUUGACAUUAAAAACAACACAGAUACAAUUAUUAAGGUGGUGAUAAAAACUGCCCUCACGAAUGUACAAAAUCAGUUAAUUAAUGACCCUGGUUUACAGAACCCUUCUGUUUACAGAUAAAUAUUGCAUUAAUAAUGUCUUAAAUUUUGUUCCUCGAGUUCGGGGAAAGACCUGAGAGAGGCCAAAAAGGCCUGAUAAUGUUUAAAGGUUUGCACACAUAAGUCCUGUAGUGUUGGUUGAUAGUAAAUUGUAACCUAUUCGUUUCUACCAGCUAAACUAGUCAAGAGUUCAAUUCUCAAAUAAAAACUUCAUAGCUUGAAUUUACAGUAAAUCUAUGUAAACACGUCUGCUAAAAGCAUAAAUGGAAAUGCACUCAGAUCAGUUGAAUCUUUGUUGCUUUCAGUGAAAAUUUGUUCAGUGAAAAGCUCUGUAUAUCAUACUAAGAGUAUGUAUAGAUGUAUAUAAAAUUGGUUUUAUAAGUUUGUACAAUUUUUGUCUGCAUACAUACAGUAUAUUGUAAUUAAAAUUGUAAUAUUCAUGUAAGUUAUAAUAUAAUAUUCAUGUAAGUUAUAGGCCAGAUCUUUAUAUGGAUAUUUAAGUUGGAUAUAUAAGUAUGUCAAGGUUUAUUUGCAUGCAUAUUGUACAGUCAUGUGGAGGGAUAUAUAUAUAUAUAUAUAUAUAUAUAUAUAUAUAUAUAUAUAUAUAUAUAUAUAUAUAUAUAUAUAUAUAUAUAUAUAUAUAUAUGUAUAUAUAUAUACACUUUUUCUGUUUUUCUGCUGAUUGAGAGUGUGUUUUUCAGUGUGUUAGAGUUCUGUUACAUCACUUCCUUCAGCUUGAGUUGUGUUUAUAAACGUAUGGUUGGUUAAACCAUUGUUUUGGCCGAACACUGUAGAUUAACACUAACUUUUGACCAGUUUUUAAUCUUUUGAAAUGGUGAGUUAGGAAAUCUUUACGAGGUCUGGGGUGGAUUUCUUAAAAGUGGUUUCCUGAUCGUGUCACGUGACUUCCUCUGUGUAAUAUUCCGUCUUUUGUAGCAGAAAUAAACUGCUGCAGAAAAGCCUGGUGCCAUGCAGAAUGUAACGAGUAAUUGCAUGAAUCUUUACAAAGGUACUGGAGUAAAGAGUACAUAUCUUGAUUAAAAAAAUGUAGUGAAGUAGAGAGUAAAAUUUGCUAAUACAUUUGAUACUCAGUUAAACUACAAAAAGAUACUCGAGGACAGUAACUAAUUGUGAAAUACAAGUAAUACAAGUAAAUACAAGUAAAGUGUCUGCUUUAAUCUUUCAAAUAAAAUGUCAAAAUAUGGGUGAAAUAAUCAUUCAGCGCAACGGAUUUAUGUGAAACACCAUACUUAUGCUGACCUGUAUCUGGUAAAAUAUAUGGAUAAAUAUAUAUAAUAAAUAUAUAGGGAAUGCCGAUGUAAACUGGCAAUGUUCCAAACCUCAACUUUUGGGUUAAAAAUUGCUGGGUUAGUCCAUAUUUGACCCAAAGUUGGGUUGAAACAACCCAGCAUUUUUUAGAGUGUGCAAUGGCAAAGACUUGGAAAGAUUUCAAAUGAAAAAAAAUCAUUAGCUUUUGAGGGCUGAACUUUGAUCCUUGAGUAGAGUCUUUUAACGAAAUCUAAUGAUUAUGCACUCAAAAUGAAAUGGAAAAAGUUUAUUUCUGCUACAAAAGAAGGAAUAUAACACACAAGGAAGUCACGUGACACGAUCAGGAAACCACUUUUAAGAAAUCCACCCCAGACCUAGUAAAGAUUUCCUAACUCACCAUUUCAAAAGAUUAAAAACUGAUCAAAAGUAAGCGUUAAUCUCCAGUGUUUGGCCAAAACAAUGGUUUAACCAACCAUACGUUUAUAAACAUCCAAGCAUUUUUUAGAGUGUGCCUGAGCAUAAGCCUGAUGAGAUUGUUUGGUUUAUGAACAGGUGUUACACUGAAUUAUAUUUUAAUGGAUGUCUUCUGUAAAUCAUGGUAAAAAUAUAUGUUUUCUGCACAACUGUUAACACACUUUCAUGAGAAAAUGAGAAAGGAAAUGACCAGAUGAGCGUUUUAUUUUCUAAAGUUUGAUUCUGCUUCAUUCUCUUGUUUUCUGCAUUGUUUCACACUCUCUGAGAUAAAAGCUUGUGUGUGUGAACUUAUGUAAAAUACUUCUGUUUGCUUCCACAAUAAAGAUACUGAAGUGUGAAAUGCAACAGAAGUCUCUUUAUUUGACGGAUGCGAUGUUGCACCAAUGGGCUGAAUAUUAUUUUAACAGCAGGAAACUGAC
ensembl:lncRNA